ensembl:lncRNA
CUGAUUUCCAUUUUAAAGAGGAAGAAACUGAGGUCCAGAGAGUUAAAAUAAUUUUCCCACUUUCCACAGCUAGUAAGCAGCAGAGGUGGGAUUCAGAGUUCCAAGCCCCCAAUUCCAGAGAUUUCACUUAUUCAUUUAUUGCUUCAUUCCAAAAAGUUACUGAGCAUCUACUACACACCAGGGCGGCAGAGGAUGAGACGGUUGGACAGCCUCGCGGAUUCAAUGACCAUGAACUUGAGUGAACUCCAGAAGACAGGUGAGGGACAGGGAGGCCUGGCCGUGCUGCAGUCCAUGGGCUCACAGAGUCGGAGGCGACCUAGGGACUCAACAACAGCACACACCAGACGCGGCUCUAGAUGCUGGCGACACAGCAGUCACUAAAACAGGCAAACAUCGCCAUGAUCAGAGCACUUAGAUUUCCACUCGGUCAGGCUGUCCUUCUGAAACUGGUCGCACCAAGGAAAGGAGGCAACAGGACCGCAGUGACCCAGAUCAGCCCCUGGGCAUGCACACCGUCUUCAGAAGGAGGGCGGAGGAAGACUCGGGGACAAAGGAGAGCAGCCUCAUCAACCCCUAGAAGCCCAGGAAACGCUCGCUCACAGUGCACUCCUGAAAGAUAACCACGGUGGAGCGGCAGGCCGGGUGUGCUGAAAGGAAGGACCACAGACUCUCCACUGAAGCUCUGCCAUCAGGUCAUAGGACUGACAAUGACCACAGACCCAGGACAAAUGGCCGUUCAUGCAUCUGCCACUCAGAAGAGCGCGAGCCUCACAGAGUUUCAGAGGUGAGUUAGAAGAAGCAAAGUCAAGACUGAAAACAGCUGGGUUUGGAUUUCCUGGAAAGCCUGGGCUGGAGGCCAAGACCAAAUCCAGGGAUGAAAUUUUCAUGUCCAGGUUAGGGGCCAACAAGACCCUAACACAGUGAGCUGCCGAGGGAUCAGGUCUAGGAGCCAAGCAGGUCCCAGCAGGGCCCAGGGGUGGAGGAC